AUUGAACGCUAGCGGGAUGCCUUACACAUGCAAGUCGAACGGAGUGGCGAACGGGUGAGUAAUGUAUCGGAACGGGCCUAGUAGCGGGGGAUAACUACGCGAAAGCGUAGGUAAUACCGCAUACUAUUGGAGCGGCCGAUAUCGGAUUAGUUAGGUGGUGGGGUAACGGCUCACCAAGGCGACGAUCCGUAGCUGGUUUGAGAGGACGACCAGCCACACGGUGACUGAGACACGGCCCAGACUCCUACGGGAUGCAGCAGUGGGGAAUUGUGAACAAUGGGGGAAACCCUGAUCCAGCCAUCCCGCGUGUGCGAUGAAGGCCUGCGGGUUGUAAAGCACUUUUAGCAGGAAAGCGGUACCUGCAGAAUAAGCACCGGCUAACUACGUGCCAGCAGCCGCGGUAAUAC
rnacentral:rRNA from 1 species